rnacentral:rRNA from 1 species
CCUACGGGUGGCAGCAGUGGGGAAUAUUGGACAAUGGGCGAAAGCCUGAUCCAGCCAUGCCGCGUGUGUGAAGAAGGCCUUCGGGUUGUAAAGCACUUUCAGUGGGGAAGAAAGCCUUGGGGCUAAUACCCUCGAGGAAGGACAUCACCCACAGAAGAAGCACCGGCUAACUCCGUACCAGCAGCCGCGGUAAUACGGAGGGUGCGAGCGUUAAUCGGAAUUACUGGGCGUAAAGCGCGCGUAGGCGGUCUGAUAAGCCGGUUGUGAAAGCCCCGGGCUCAACCUGGGAACGGCAUCCGGAACUGUCAGGCUAGAGUGCAGGAGAGGAAGGUAGAAUUCCUGGUGUAGCGGUGAAAUGCGUAGAGAUCGGGAGGAAUACCAGUGGCGAAGGCGGCCUUCUGGACUGACACUGACGCUGAGGUGCGAAAACGUGGGUAGCAAACAGGAUUAGAUACCCCAGUAGUC